rnacentral:rRNA from 1 species
AUUGAACGCUGGCGGCAUGCCUUACACAUGCAAGUCGAACGGCAGCACGGGUGCUUGCACCUGGUGGCGAGUGGCGAACGGGUGAGUAAUACAUCGGAACAUGUCCUGUAGUGGGGGAUAGCCCGGCGAAAGCCGGAUUAAAACCGCAUACGAUCUACGGAUGAAAGCGGGGGACCUUCGGGCCUCGCGCUAUAGGGUUGGCCGAUGGCUGAUUAGCUAGUUGGUGGGGUAAAGGCCUACCAAGGCGACGAUCAGCAGCUGGUCUGAGAGGACGACCAGCCACACUGGGACUGAGACACGGCCCAGACUCCUACGGGAGGCAGCAGUGGGGAAUUUUGGACAAUGGGCGAAAGCCUGAUCCAGCAAUGCCGCGUGUGUGAAGAAGGCCUUCGGGUUGUAAAGCACUUUUGUCCGGAAAGAAAUCCUUGGCCCUAAUACGGUCGGGGGAUGACGGUACCGGAAGAAUAAGCACCGGCUAACUACGUG